rnacentral:snRNA from 1 species
GUCUGUGUUCUCGGACAUUUGAUAAAAUUGGAAUGAUACAGUGAAGAUUAAAGAUUAGUAUAGCUUCUACGCAAGACGUGACAUUUUUUUUUUUUUU